CCUACGGGUGGCAGCAGUGGGGAAUAUUGGUCAAUGGGCGCAAGCCUGAACCAGCGAAGUAGCGUGAAUGAUGACUGCCCUACGGGUGUUAAGCUUCAUUUAUAAGGGAAUAAAGUGCGGCACGUGUGCCUUUUUGUAUGUACUUUAUGAAUAAGGAUCGGCUAACUCCGUGCCAGCAGCCGAGGUAAUACGGAGGAGCCGAGCGUUAUCCGGAUUUAUUGGGUGUAAAGGGAGCGUAGAUGGGAUGUUAAGUCGGUUGUGAAAGUUUGGGGCUCAACCGUAAAACUGCAAUUGAUACUGGCAGGCUUGAGUGCAGUUGAGGUAAGCGGAAUUCGUGGUGUAGCGGUGAAAUGCGUAGAUAUCAGGAAGAACUCCGAUUGCGAAGGCAGCUUACUAGACUGUAACUGACAUUGAUGCUCGAAAGUGUGGGGAGCAAACAGGAUUAGAUACCCCGGUAGUC
rnacentral:rRNA from 1 species